rnacentral:rRNA from 1 species
AUUGAACGCUGGCGGCAGGCCUAACACAUGCAAGUCGAACGAGUGGCGGACGGGUGAGUAAUGUCUGGGAAACUGCCCGAUGGAGGGGGAUAACUACUGGAAACAGUAGCUAAUACCGCAUACCAUCGGAUGUGCCCAGAUGGGAUUAGCUAGUAGGUGGGGUAACGGCUCACCUAGGCGACGAUCCCUAGCUGGUCUGAGAGGAUGACCAGCCACACUGGAACUGAGACACGGUCCAGACUCCUACGGGAGGCAGCAGUGGGGAAUAUUGAACAAUGGGCGCAAGCCUGAUGCAGCCAUGCCGCGGUUGGGAAGAAGGCCUUCGGGUUGGAAAGUACUAUCAGCUAGGUGGCGUUACUCGGAGAAAUAUCAGCGGCAAACUCCGUGUCAGCAGCCGCGGUAAUAC